ACCCGCACAAGCGGUGGAUGAUGUGGUUUAAUUCGAUGCAACGCGAAAACCUUACCCACCUUUGACAUGUACGGAAUCCUUUAGAGAUAGAGGAGUGCUCGAAAGAGAGCCGUAACACAGGUGCUGCAUGGCUGUCGUCAGCUCGUGUCGUGAGAUGUUGGGUUAAGUCCCGCAACGAGCGCAACCCUUGUCAUUAGUUGCUACAUUUGGUUGGGCACUCUAAUGAGACUGCCGGUGACAAGCCGGAGGAAGGUGGGGAUGACGUCAAGUCCUCAUGGCCCUUAUAGGUGGGGCUACACACGUCAUACAAUGGCUGGUACAAAGGGUUGCCAACCCGCGAGGGGGAGCUAAUCCCACAAAGCCAGUCGUAGUCCGGAUCGUAGUCUGCAACUCGACUACGUGAAGUCGGAAUCGCUAGUAAUCGUGGAUCAGAAUGUCACGGUGAAUACGUUCCCGGGUCUU
rnacentral:rRNA from 1 species